rnacentral:piRNA from 1 species
UGCACGAAACCAGGUUUCAGGUUCAGCACUC